ACCACUCAUAAGCUUGAUCUAACAGGCGUUGACGAUCCAAAGGCCUGACUCCACAGCGGUAAUGAGCCUCGUCUACCUUGCACUUUGACGGACAACGCUCACUACCAACACUUCUAGAAGCCUCCGCCACCGCCGUAAGAUUGCAUCGCGCACACGGUCUACUCUUAACGACCGCCACCGCCACCGCCGCUGCCGCCGUUGAGGGAGAUGGCUGGAUGAGUGGGUGAUAGAGGCGAGGCAGGUGUGGUGAGGCGGAGGAUUGGAGACGAGAACCUACAGAUGACGGCAGACACGGAAGAUUCCACUAACCAGGAGUUGGUGAUCCGAAGCCGUGACUGCAGCGAUCCCGUGCGUCCUGCACCAUCAAGGGAAGGACACUCUGGCUUCGCACUGCGCCUACAUUGACCGUUGCCGCCGCCGCUGCUACCGCUACUCGGAGGGGCACUGCCUCGCAUUGGGCCUUCACUGCCGUCCCGCUAAUGCACGUGUCGCCGUCGCAGCUACUGGCACUGAGGGACUUCGCCUCGCAGCGGCCUGGCAAACACCUGCUACACCACCACCACUAACUCCACCACCGCAGUCCAGAGAUUCAGCUUCGCAUAGCAGACAUCCUCCUAUUCAACGCUUGCUGCCACUACCACCUCAUUAUGGUGGUGUCACUGUACUUGGAUAUGUUGUCACUACCGAAUAAUAAUGUGUAAAGAAA
rnacentral:lncRNA from 1 species